UACCCAUUCUACGUCCCUGGCACAGUUGGUCCAUAUGAUAUGUUAUGAUAAGGGAAAGACCGGUUGACCCAUUCUACGUCCCGGCACAGUUGGACCUAUGUAGAGGACUAUAGGUGACAAUACCAUCCGAGAUGUGAUUUGUUGUGAUGUGUUGCAUUGCAUGAAAGCAUAAAAUUUUAAUAUAAUGUUUUAUACUAUUCUGCUCACUGGGCUUUGUAGCUCACCCCUCUCCCCUAACCCCAGAUGUGCAGGUACAGGGUAGAUCAGAAGGUUAGCCAGAGUUUUGAAGUAUGUCUUAUGUAUGUAAUAGUUAGUAUGUGGACAUGACAAUUGAUGAAAUGUAAAAAUAUUCAGAAUGUUAUGUAAUGAGGUUAUUGAGGAUAGAGUUGUGCUUGACCAUAAUGUAUUGUUAAUCCCUUUUGUCUAUACAUGAUCUUAUGUUAUGAUGUUUAUGUAAACUAACUCAACACAGGCUGUUU
rnacentral:lncRNA from 1 species